AGGGAUUGUGUGGUUCCCCCCUUCUCUCUGACACUCCCUUCAUGUUUCCUGACACUCAGUAGCUCCAACAACGUGAUGAAUAAGUGAAUAAAUGAGUGAAAGAGUGGCAAGGUUACCAGAAAAGUCCGGAAAAAACACUGAUUGGAUUCAAGGCCUGAUGAUGCAGAAAGAAAGAGAACACAGAGGUGCCGCAAGAAAUGAUGAAAAUGUCAGUAGUUAGACCCUUGAGUGGUGAUGACGUAACCCUCCUGGCCUACACAUGAGAAGGCAAUG